UACGUAGGGUGCAAGCGUUGUCCGGAAUUAUUGGGCGUAAAGAGCUCGUAGGCGGUCUGUCGCGUCUGCUGUGAAAACUCAGGGCUUAACCCUGAGCUUGCAGUGGGUACGGGCAGACUAGAGUGCGGUAGGGGAGACUGGAAUUCCUGGUGUAGCGGUGAAAUGCGCAGAUAUCAAGGAGGAACACCGGUGGGCGAAGGCGGGUCUCUGGGCCGU
rnacentral:rRNA from 1 species